CCUGCCUCAGCCUCCCAAGUAGCUGGGACCACAGGAAUCCUGCUGUCACCGGUGCCUGCUUUCUGCUGAGCCCACCUUACUUUUACCUGCUCACCUUCCCACCAGGCAUGUAUCUUAUGUUUUGUUGGUUUCCAGUACCUACGUGUUGGUCAAGGACGUUCUGACAACUUCCACGGAUCAAGGAGGAUUUCUCCAAAACGGAUGUGAAUGAGAUUGUUUGCUACAAUGUACCCUGCAGGGGCUGGGAGUUAGCGGUCACUGUUUGCUAUCAUUGAGAGGAUGGAGUUAUAAAAUGACUUGGAGGGACAUUUAGGAACACUGUGCAACAUUUAGCAACAAAGAACUACAUGUCCACAUAGUGACCUGAACAGAUCUUGCGAGCAUUUAGUUUUUAAAACAGUGAUGAUUUUAGCACCAUACCACUUAUUCGAAUUGAAAAAUGUAAUAAUAAAGACAAUGGGAUGCUUGGCGAUGACAUAACUCCUUAUUUAUCUUUUAGUUAUCUCAUUUAUUCUCACAUUAGAAUUAGUGUCUAAUUGAAGGAGAGAAAUGAAAGAAGGGAAUGCAGAAACGCAGAAUAAAGAAACAA